ACUGUAAUGCAAGUUAUAUAAAUGUGGUCUCUCUCUCUCUGAGUAUCUGACUGCACUGUCCUCACCCUUCUUGUGAUGAUGUGAGAUGAUACAAUGCUGACGCAAUGAGAGGAAGUGACGUGAAUGACCCAGGCACUGUGAUGUAGCAAUAGGCUGCUACUGACUUCCUGAUGGGUUGAUCAAGAGGAGGGGCAUUGGCUUCCAGCCUCCACACCUCAGGCGACCGUGGAUAAAUGAAACCGAGUUAUUUAAGGAUAGAUUUCCUGAGUGUGGGGCAAAGACCUGGUCCGUGUGGGAGGGAGACACUGUCACGUCUGUCCCUCCUCACCUACGCUCACCUGGAGCUGUACUUCUUGAGGAUGGUAUCCAAGAGGGCAACGAGCUCUUCCGCGUUGAUGAACUUCUGCGGGCUGAGGGUGUACAUUUUCUCGUAGAAGUCCGCGAUCUCCAUCCGGGCCUGAACGAAGAAGCAGAGCUGCUCCGACAGGUGGGAGAGCAGUUCCUCCACGUGAGGAGCGGUCCCACCCAGCGCCCCGCGGCCUGUCACCACCUUCUUCAGCUCGUUGUGCAGGGAAGUGUAGAUGGUGCGGAUGGAAUCCUUCCUGCUGAAGAAGGACUGGCCCCCUGGGAAAGGAGAGGAAAAGAAAGCAGAAAACAUUGGAAAAAUAUACGAGUUCUUCCCUGUGAAGAUCUGCAGAAACACAAGAAAAGCAAUUCCAUGUAAAAAAUGGUAAGAAACAGCAGUUGAAGAAUAUCAAUGAUCAUCGACAGCAGGUAACUGUGAAAACAGCCUGGAAGCAACCCAGAUUCAGAGUUGAUGCACCACGUUCCGAGCCUGAGGCCUGCGCUCUCUUUGAAAAGAAAGGGCAGAUGAGCAUGUCUCAGAGAGCUGCCGCUCUGGGCACCAAGCCCAGAGGCUCUCCCUAAUGAGACUGCACUAGUUGGAAAAGCAAUCAUGUUGCACUGUGGAAUUCAGAGUAAUUUCCUGCCGUGUCAGAGUACCACGUGCGUUCAUCUCUUGUCACUGACCUGUGGACGUUCAACACUGGAGGAAGAGCUGCCUUUGCUGAAGAGAGGAAUACCUUCCCCCUUAAAGCUUUGCCUAAUUCCAGCACAGAUGGGGGACCCUCUCCUGUAGCACUUUUCCCACACCUGGUAUAUAUCACACUGAUCCUAUUUUGUCCCCUUGUCAUGAUUUGUGUACUUGUCCUGGGCACUUUUCAUGGACUAGCUCAUACAGCUGGGAAUUACUGUUCAUGGGUUCAGGCCCCACGUUGGGCUCUGUGCUGGCAGUGUGGAACCUGCUUAGGAUUCUGUGUCUGUGUC